rnacentral:rRNA from 1 species
UACGGGGGGGGGCAAGCGUUGUUCGGAAUUACUGGGCGUAAAGGGCUCGUAGGCGGCCAACUAAGUCAGACGUGAAAUCCCUCGGCUUAACCGGGGAACUGCGUCUGAUACUGGAUGGCUUGAGGUUGGGAGAGGGAUGCGGAAUUCCUGGUGUAGCGGUGAAAUGCGCAGAUAUCAGGAGGAACACCGGUGGCGAAGGCGGGUCUCUGGGUAGUAACUGACGCUGAGGAACGAAAGCGUGGGUAGCGAACAGG